rnacentral:lncRNA from 12 species
UUAUUAUCAGUCCUUGUCAAAUUUAAACCACUAAUUUGGUGAAUUGGCAUUUUCUAUAUAUGACCUAGACUUAGCUGAGUAAUGGAAGCAUAGCUCUUCUAAAGCUGGAUCUUAGAAGGCAGCUGGGGUGAAGUUCCCUAUUUCUUCCACCUCUGUCACACAUGAAAGUGGAAAUGACAAAUUUUGAACUCCUGCAAUUCUGCCAUUAUCAGCAGGAAGAAUCAGGAAGCCAAGACAUCCUUAAACUGCUGGCUGCUUGUUUGGGCCUUGGGGCCAUUGCUCAUCUGUGAAAUUUUGGCAAUGGAAGGGAAAGCCAAUAGAGCUUGAAUGAAUGGGCAGGGAUGUCAUCCAGCCUCAUCCCAUCUUUACACAGAUCCAAAACCUCAGAGACACCAACAGAGAACAUGUGGGACAAGAACAUGCUUUGGCAUGGAAAACAAAGGUGGCUUUCUUUAAACAUAUGAAGUGUGUAUCUGUAUGAUCUCUGAAGAGUUUUUCUCUCCUGCUGAUGUUUGUUAGUUAUUUCUCAGAAGAAAAAAAUUACCCGUGAAGGUGCCUCGCCCUGUUCAUCCAUUAAGGUGAGUGGGUGGUGGCUCUCACUGAAAGCAAUCUCACAGCAGCUUUUGGCUGUCAGGCCACUUAGGUAGUUACCUACAUCCAGUACUUUAGAACAGUUCAUAGAAUCAUAAUCUUAUUUUGAAUAGUAUUUACUUCAGAGAAUCACCAUUCUCUAUUUUUUGCAGGCAGUUUAGUAUAAAUCUUUGUUGCCAGUAAACAUUGUAAUGUCAUUUACAUUUUCAAAUUAGUUUUCUAUUAAUUGUUAGAUGUAUGAGAGAAAUCCACUGGAUUAAUUACAAGUGCAAUCUGAAGCUUGAAAG